CUCUUAUCACGAGCUGGCUGAGGGAUUUGGCCCUUUGAAGCCCAGCAACCGACCGGAAACCCAUUGAAAUGGGGCGCUUUUUGCGCUGGGGAUCCCCCCCUUUAAGGCACGGUGCUAAUUCCAACAGAAGGAUUAUCUUUCUGAGAGAUAAGAG
rnacentral:ncRNA from 2 species